rnacentral:rRNA from 1 species
GAUCAUGGCUCAGGAUGAACGCUGGCGGCAUGCCUAAGACAUGCAAGUCGAACGGAGUGGCCUUUAGAAGAUGGAGUGCUUGCACAAAAUCGGACAAAGAUUACCACUUAGUGGCGGACGGGUGAGUAACGCGUGGGUAACCUGCCUCAUACAGGGGGAUAACAGUUGGGAACGACUGCUAAUACCGCAUAAGCGCACGGUACCGCAUGGUACCGUGUGAAAAACUCCGGUGGU